AGGCGAACCGGGGGAACUGAAACAUCUAAGUACCCCGAGGAAAAGAAAUCAACCGAGAUUCCCCCAGUAGCGGCGAGCGAACGGGGAGGAGCCCAGAGCCUGAAUCAGUGUGUGUGUUAGUGGAAGCGUCUGGAAAGGCGCGCGAUACAGGGUGACAGCCCCGUACACAAAAAUGCACAUACUGUGAGCUCGAUGAGUAGGGCGGGACACGUGGUAUCCUGUCUGAAUAUGGGGGGACCAUCCUCCAAGGCUAAAUACUCCUGACUGACCGAUAGUGAACCAGUACCGUGAGGGAAAGGCGAAAAGAACCCCGGCGAGGGGAGUGAAAAAGAACCUGAAACCGUGUACGUACAAGCAGUGGGAGCCUCUUAAUGGGGUGACUGCGUACCUUUUGUAUAAUGGGUCAGCGACUUAUAUUCUGUAGCAAGGUUAACCGAAUAGGGGAGCCGAAGGGAAACCGAGUCUUAACUGGGCGUUAAGUUGCAGGGUAUAGACCCGAAACCCGGUGAUCUAGCCAUGGGCAGGUUGAAGGUUGGGUAACACUAACUGGAGGACCGAACCGACUAAUGUUGAAAAAUUAGCGGAUGACUUGUGGCUGGGGGUGAAAGGCCAAUCAAACCGGGAGAUAGCUGGUUCUCCCCGAAAGCUAUUUAGGUAGCGCCUCGUGAAUUCAUCUCCGGGGGUAGAGCACUGUUUCGGCAAGGGGGUCAUCCCGACUUACCAACCCGAUGCAAACUGCGAAUACCGGAGAAUGUUAUCACGGGAGACACACGGCGGGUGCUAACGUCCGUCGUGAAGAGGGAAACAACCCAGACCGCCAGCUAAGGUCCCAAAGUCAUGGUUAAGUGGGAAACGAUGUGGGAAGGCCCAGACAGCCAGGAUGUUGGCUUAGAAGCAGCCAUCAUUUAAAGAAAGCGUAAUAGCUCACUGGUCGAGUCGGCCUGCGCGGAAGAUGUAACGGGGCUAAACCAUGCACCGAAGCUGCGGCAGCGACACUAUGUGUUGUUGGGUAGGGGAGCGUUCUGUAAGCCUGUGAAGGUGUACUGUGAGGUAUGCUGGAGGUAUCAGAAGUGCGAAUGCUGACAUAAGUAACGAUAAAGCGGGUGAAAAGCCCGCUCGCCGGAAGACCAAGGGUUCCUGUCCAACGUUAAUCGGGGCAGGGUGAGUCGACCCCUAAGGCGAGGCCGAAAGGCGUAGUCGAUGGGAAACAGGUUAAUAUUCCUGUACUUGGUGUUACUGCGAAGGGGGGACGGAGAAGGCUAUGUUGGCCGGGCGACGGUUGUCCCGGUUUAAGCGUGUAGGCUGGUUUUCCAGGCAAAUCCGGAAAAUCAAGGCUGAGGCGUGAUGACGAGGCACUACGGUGCUGAAGCGACAAAUGCCCUGCUUCCAGGAAAAGCCUCUAAGCAUCAGGUAACAUCAAAUCGUACCCCAAACCGACACAGGUGGUCAGGUAGAGAAUACCAAGGCGCUUGAGAGAACUCGGGUGAAGGAACUAGGCAAAAUGGUGCCGUAACUUCGGGAGAAGGCACGCUGAUAUGUAGGUGAAGCGACUUGCUCGUGGAGCUGAAAUCAGUCGAAGAUACCAGCUGGCUGCAACUGUUUAUUAAAAACACAGCACUGUGCAAACACGAAAGUGGACGUAUACGGUGUGACGCCUGCCCGGUGCCGGAAGGUUAAUUGAUGGGGUUAGCGGUAACGCGAAGCUCUUGAUCGAAGCCCCGGUAAACGGCGGCCGUAACUAUAACGGUCCUAAGGUAGCGAAAUUCCUUGUCGGGUAAGUUCCGACCUGCACGAAUGGCGUAAUGAUGGCCAGGCUGUCUCCACCCGAGACUCAGUGAAAUUGAACUCGCUGUGAAGAUGCAGUGUACCCGCGGCAAGACGGAAAGACCCCGUGAACCUUUACUAUAGCUUGACACUGAACAUUGAGCCUUGAUGUGUAGGAUAGGUGGGAGGCUUUGAAGUGUGGACGCCAGUCUGCAUGGAGCCGACCUUGAAAUACCACCCUUUAAUGUUUGAUGUUCUAACGUGGGCCCCUUACCGGGGUUGCGGACAGUGUCUGGUGGGUAGUUUGACUGGGGCGGUCUCCUCCUAAAGAGUAACGGAGGAGCACGAAGGUUGGCUAAUCCUGGUCGGACAUCAGGAGGUUAGUGCAAUGGCAUAAGCCAGCUUGACUGCGAGCGUGACGGCGCGAGCAGGUGCGAAAGCAGGUCAUAGUGAUCCGGUGGUUCUGAAUGGAAGGGCCAUCGCUCAACGGAUAAAAGGUACUCCGGGGAUAACAGGCUGAUACCGCCCAAGAGUUCAUAUCGACGGCGGUGUUUGGCACCUCGAUGUCGGCUCAUCACAUCCUGGGGCUGAAGUAGGUCCCAAGGGUAUGGCUGUUCGCCAUUUAAAGUGGUACGCGAGCUGGGUUUAGAACGUCGUGAGACAGUUCGGUCCCUAUCUGCCGUGGGCGCUGGAGAACUGAGGGGGGCUGCUCCUAGUACGAGAGGACCGGAGUGGACGCAUCACUGGUGUUCGGGUUGUCAUGCCAAUGGCACUGCCCGGUAGCUAAAUGCGGAAGAGAUAAGUGCUGAAAGCAUCUAAGCACGAAACUUGCCCCGAGAUGAGUUCUCCCUGACUCCUUGAGAGUCCUGAAGGAACGUUGAAGACGACGACGUUGAUAGGCCGGGUGUGUAAGCGCAGCGAUGCGUUGAGCUAACCGGUACUAAUGAACCGUGAGGCUUAACCUU
rnacentral:rRNA from 1 species